GAUGAACGCUGGCGGCGUGCCUAAUACAUGCAAGUCGAGCGAACAGACGAGGAGCUUGCUCCUCUGACGUUAGCGGCGGACGGGUGAGUAACACGUGGAUAACCUACCUAUAAGACUGGGAUAACUUCGGGAAACCGGAGCUAAUACCGGAUAAUAUAUUGAACCGCAUGGUUCAAUAGUGAAAGACGGUUUUGCUGUCACUUAUAGAUGGAUCCGCGCCGCAUUAGCUAGUUGGUAAGGUAACGGCUUACCAAGGCAACGAUGCGUAGCCGACCUGAGAGGGUGAUCGGCCACACUGGAACUGAUACACGGUCGAGACUCCUACGGGAGGCAGCAGUAGGGAAUCUUCCGCAAUGGGCGAAAGCCUGACGGAGCAACGCCGCGUGAGUGAUGAAGGUCCUCGGAUCGUAAAACUCUGUUAUUAGGGAAGAUCAAAUGUGUAAGUAACUAUGCACGUCUUGACGGUACCUAAUCAGAAAGCCACGGCUAACUACGUG
rnacentral:rRNA from 1 species